CGGGCAGCAGCGGAGGAAGGGAGCAGGGAGCGAAGGAAAGGAGCGGGCAGCAGCGGAGGAAGGGAGCCGGCGGCGAAGGAAGGGAGUGAGCCGGGAGCGGACGCGUGAAGCGGGGCUGCUCGGGACGCGGAGCGCUCGGGACAGCGACUGCCCGCCGCGGUGUGCGCGGGGCUCUCGGGACGGUCCUGCCACACUCCGGGGACUGACAUAAAGCUCGGACUCGUGUCAGUCAGGGAGCUCUCGGGCACGGGCACCUUUGUGUUUUCAGAGCCUGGGGAGCUGAUGCAGACCUGGCUGACAGCUUACGGCACGCCCGGCCAGAAGAUGCUUCUCAUCUCUCCGGCACUCUGGGAGAGGGGGAAACAGAUACCGCACACGGCCACGGCCCUGGCAGCUCCUUCCCAGCCUGCGCUUUCUGACCGCCAGAGGUUUUAGGGACUGCCUGUCUCAGAGAACGGUCGGAGAAACAGAUUUCUUGUGAUGGGGUGCAAUACACCACCUUGGCAAGAUGGUAGAACCACCCCAGUUUCAGUGACCACGGUGAGCAGUGAUGUUCCAGCUGGGGCCCAGGCACAGGCCUCCUUACCCGUGGGAGGGAUGUGGCCCUGUUUCCAGCUGGACUUUGAGGCUGGGCCAGAAACACCCAGGUCUCGGCUACAAGUAACACUAAAUGUGCACAGCUGGAAUUAAAGCACUGGCACCGUCUAGGACUAAGGGCUGUCCCUCAGUCAAG